GAUGAACGCUGGCGGCGUGCCUAAUACAUGCAAGUCGAGCGAACAGACGAGGAGCUUGCUCCUCUGACGUUAGCGGCGGAUGGGUGAGUAACACGUGGAUAACCUACCUAUAAGACUGGGAUAACUUCGGGAAACCGGAGCUAAUACCGGAUAAUAUAUUGAACCGCAUGGUUCAAUAGUGAAAGACGGUUUUGCUGUCACUUAUAGAUGGAUCCGCGCCGCAUUAGCUAGUUGGUAAGGUAACGGCUUACCAAGGCAACGAUGCGUAGCCGACCUGAGAGGGUGAUCGGCCCCACUGGAACUGAGACCCGUGCCAGCCCCCUACGGGGGGCAGCGGUGGGAAAUCUUCCGCAAGGGGGGAAAGCCUGACGGGGCAACGCCGGGGGGGGGAUGAAGUUUUGCGGUUCGAAAAACUUUUUUUUUGGGGAAAAAAAAAUGUGUAAGUAACUAUGCCCGUCUGGACGGAACCAAACCAAAAAGCCCCGGCUAACUCCGG
rnacentral:rRNA from 1 species